CCUACGGGUGGCUGCAGUGGGGAAUAUUGCACAAUGGGCGCAAGCCUGAUGCAGCCAUGCCGCGUGUGUGAAGAAGGCCUUCGGGUUGUAAAGCACUUUCAGCGGGGAGGAAGGCGGUGAGGUUAAUAACCUCAUCGAUUGACGUUACCCGCAGAAGAAGCACCGGCUAACUCCGUGCCAGCAGCCGCGUUAAUACGGAGGGUGCAAGCGUUAAUCGGAAUUACUGGGCGUAAAGCGCACGCAGGCGGUCUGUCAAGUCGGAUGUGAAAUCCCCGGGCUCAACCUGGGAACUGCAUUCGAAACUGGCAGGCUAGAGUCUUGUAGAGGGGGGUAGAAUUCCAGGUGUAGCGGUGAAAUGCGUAGAGAUCUGGAGGAAUACCGGUGGCGAAGGCGGCCCCCUGGACAAAGACUGACGCUCAGGUGCGAAAGCGUGGGGAGCAAACAGGAUUAGAUACCCGAGUAGUC
rnacentral:rRNA from 1 species